AACCGCAGCUAAGGGAAAAAGUUUGAGCUAGGACUCUUCUCCACCUUCCUUCAAAAAAGGACUCUUCUUCAACCCGUCCUCCGGACUCGAGGAAUCCUCCUCCAUGAUGGCAACUCCUCCGCCUUCCUUCCUAUAAGAACCUCCUCCUCGCGCGAGCCACCUGAUUUGCUGAGAUCGUGGUAACACGCAAGUGCGGCGCGGAGCUCGCUCAAGGUCGAUGCGCCCCGUGGUGGUGGCGUUCGAGGCGGGUCGGCCAGAGGUUCAACAAUUUCUCGAUCUCCGGGGUUCAACAAUUUCUCGCCGGAUCCGCUCGUCGGCAUCCGUGGACUGCAUGAGCCGGAUGUCUCCUGUGCCCUAGCAGUGGUCAAUCGAUCUCCCUCUCCCGAACGACCCCGACAGUAGGUGCAUGAGCCCAUGGCCGGUUGCGUCGGCGAUGGGGUUGGAGCGCAUAAUAGUGACAUCAACCUGACUGCUGGCUGUUAAGCAUCUUCUUUGACGUCCAUACUACCACAUAUCUUAUUUAGUUUGACCUUCUGUGAGGAUGAGGGCUUCGUGUCUCACAUGAUAGUGUUCUCUCCCAAUCUUACGAGGCUACCACAAUCAUAAGCCAUCAUGUUCAUUAGGGAAAUAAUGAUUCAAGAAAAGAAGAUGGUUUGGGGAAACACAAAUAUGCUGGGGGCAUAGUAAAGCUGCAGAUCUAAAUGCAUGGACAAUAUCUCCUGCAGUUUUGAUUCAUUUUUAUUCAGGUAACUGCUCCAGGUGAGAAUGAUAUGCUGCUGGUCAUGCCAAAGGUUGUGAUACAUUUUUUUAUGAUAGUAUGAAUUGAUUGAUGAUGCAUCACAAGAAGCACAAGUUCUGCAGUAUCCAUUUCAGCAAGAAGUUUGCAUUGAGUAAUUCUUUUCAAGAAGAAGCUUACCAUGCACAACUAGCUAGCGAAUACUUCAUUCUUCGGUGGAAGACAUAGCAUAUAAUUACCUUGAGCACAUCAAUACAAGAUUUUCUAGCAUCAAGUAUUGUUCAUGGUUCACUCAUAAUGUGUGUUCUGUCCACUUUUCAACUUAAUUUUAUUAAGAUUUCUGGUUAUCACUGCAGGAGUUGCACCAGAGUCAAUGAGGGUAGUCUGCAUUGCAGACUGUGUUAACUAUUCCAGAUUUUAUCAACAUUAAAUUGUGCAUUGCCAUUGCCAUUUCCAUUUCUUGCAUCACCUACCUUGAAGUUGAGAGGAUUGAUUUUUCUGUAAUUGUUCAAUUGGAAGUAAAAAAUCAACUCUGCAUGCUUACAUGAAGCUAGAUUCCUGAAAAAUAGUUGUUUUCGCACAGUAUAUCAGUAUUUUGUUUCCCGAUCUAAAAAAGAUGUGUCUGAGCCUGACACAAGAGUUUGGCUAAUCUGCAGUAUGACUCAUUAGUAGUAUUUUCUUAGACAUGUUGAAUCAUUCCUCUAUCCCAGUAUUCAAAAUUUACAUAUUGUGAUAUUGUCACAACUGUCAAGUGUAGGUUCCACAACCAAGCAGAAGUUGUCACCAAAGGUCAAGAUGGAAAUAGGUAAAACCGGUAUUUACAUGUUACACAUCCGCAGCUGUAGGAUGAACUGCCAUGGACUCCUGACCAACUAUCCCACACAUACGACUCUUUAAAAGGAUGUUCUUCCUCUAUCUCUCCAUGUCGUGUUUUAUUCCAUCCCAUACUUCAUGGUUCCAUCAGUACUGGAUUCCCAACAAGGAGAACGUGAUUCGGUCCAUCUAUGCCUUCCCCUUAUCAUAUUCAAGGUUUUGCAUUACAGGAUGAUUGAUGCGUCCGAUGAGCAUCCACAAUAAUGUGAAGUAAGGAGGCGACAUCGGUAGUUGAGGCUAUCAAGUGGAGGAAUAUGUUGGAUUGGUGGUGGCACGCAAAUCACACUCUAAAUCCAAUUGGAGUUCAUCUAUUCUACCAUCGCCCCACGCUGUCGCACUUCUCCUUACCAGAUUACACGUUGGAGGGAGGGGGGAACCAGCUGGGGCGGUCUGCAAUCUGCAAAGUCUAAAGUUGAACCCUGCACGUACAUCUCGCCGAUGCCGACAAUAUUUGGUUUGGUUUCAGUGAGCACGUGCUUGAACGCCUCAAAUUUUCUUGAUAUGUCCCUACUGUUAAGGCUGGCGCCUUGAUGCUCCUGCAGGCUACCAGGAAGGACCUAUUCAAUUGUGUUGGUUGUUGUGUUCGUUCUAAUGGGAUACAAGUCACAUGGCGUGAUGGACAUCAGAUAGAGAAGACAAACAGAGCUAUCACUAUAGACGCAUAACGAACUUCUCAUAUUUACAUGGUUGAGUAUAAAUGUAUGUCCAAGUAUUUUUAUAGUUCAAUGUUACGUGAGUAAAUAUACAUCUUACACCAAAAUAUUCAGAAAUCCUCAGUUCAAUAUACUAUGUUCAUAAAUAAAUAGAUGAUUAACUCGACGCAUGCAUAAUAAAUUCAAGGUAUCUAACCACAGUUUUUGUAAGUAAAAGGCAGUAUAACAAAGAGUAGAAUCUAACACUUAUUUUCGUGUCAUUUUGGCUUCAGUAUUGAGAGAAAUAAAGUUUUUUUUUUUGUAAUGAAGACGCCAAAGGCGUCCGGCUUUAAAUUACCAAAGCCAACAAGGCAGCGUUCACAAAGUCUGAAAACAGAUACCACGGCAAUCCAGCUUAAGUAUUACAUAACCAGCCAAAAUAAAAGAGGUCCAUCAACACCAGCACGCAGGCUGGAAUAACAGGUCAUCGGCAAGCAUACACAAAGAAACGGAUGCAAAAUGAUAUCAGUCUUGAGCAGCUACUUGGCGCGCUUCCACCUGAAUGUUGCGGAUCCGCUCCAUCGUCUCGAUCAUGCGCUCCUCAUCUUGCAGUUUCCCCAACGGUGUUCAGGUCUGCAAGAAGAGGUGACAUUUGGACAGGACAUUGGCUGGGUGAGAAGGGAAUUUCUUCUGGAUGGUCAUCUUAUUACGCACAGUCCAUAAGGACCAAAGAGCGCCCCUAUGCAUCACCAAACAAUCCUUGCACUAGCCCCCUUUUGCGUAUGAAUAAUUUGUAAAAGAUUGGCACCGGAUGAAGGGUUCUAGUUUUGCUGGAAAGCGGCUCACAGCGCUCCAGGAAAACGUGGCUAGGUGACAAUGAAAGAAGGCAUGAUUUGCAGCUUCGAUGGUACCGCACACCACACAAGACCAGUCGGAAGGUCCGUUGCGUUUCGCAACGUUAUCCGCCGUCCGUAGGCGGUUUUGGAACAUUUGCCAUAGGAAGAUUUUUAGCUUAAGCGGGAGACCGGCCUUCCAUAGCCCCCGAGCUAUGGAGAGAAAUAAAGUUAGGGUAACUAUUCAUUCUAAAUGGUUUCUUGUCUUACUAGAUUGACCUUUUUCUUUCCUUAUAGAUCCGUAAAAUAAAUAGCAUAUCAUGGUUUUCGGUCUCCUCA